GCCUGUGUGGCUCAGUGGUUGAGCACUGACCUAUGAAUCAGGAGUUCACGGUUGGAUUCCUGUUCCAGGCA
rnacentral:tRNA from 1 species